rnacentral:misc_RNA from 1 species
GAAAUGCGAUAAGUAAUGUGAAUUGCAGAAUUCAGUGAAUCAUCGAAUCUUUGAACGCACCUUGCGCCCUUUGGCUAUUCCGAAGGGCAUGCCUGUUUGAGUAUCAUGAACACCUCAACUCUCAUGGUUUGCCAUGAUGAGCUUGGACUUUGGGGGUCUUGCUGGCCCGUGGUCAGCUCCUCUCAAACAAAUCAGCUUGCCAGUGUUUGGUGGCGUCACAAGUGUGAUAACUAUCUACGCUUGUGGUUUUCCGCCAGAUGACCUUCAGCGAUGGAGGUCCGCUGGAGCUCAUAAAUGUCUCUCCCCAGUGAGGACAACUCUUUGAAUGUUUGAUCUCAAAUCAGGUAGGACUACCCGCUGAACUUAA